UGCACAUUGGUGUGGAUGGGAAAUUGAGGUUUCGCGAACAAGGUACUUGUUUUUGCAUUGAUUAUCUAUUUAUCGUAAAUAUUCAUUGUCUACACUGGAAACAGUUGGACUGAUGAAGACAUUGUGUUGUCUGCUUAUGUAAUUGCUGUUUGUGCCUUCCAGGUACUGCUGUACCUGCUGCAACUACAGAUGAUACCUCACCCCUCACUCCUGAAAUGGUGGUAGGGCAACCCACUCCAGAAGUUGUCAGGAGUUUUGUUCCGGACAAAUCUUGGUGGAGCAAUAUAUACACCUGGUGUGUGUGUGUGUGUAAUACGUUGUUUUUUUGAUAAAGCACUAUUUUUUUUAUUGUUUCGUCCUGAUUAAAUGUUCUUAUGAUAAAAA